rnacentral:rRNA from 1 species
GACAGAGGGUGCAAACGUUGCUCGGAAUCACUGGGCGUAAAGGGCGUGUAGGCGGUCUAUCAAGUCUGGUGUGAAAUCCCCUCGCUCAACGAGGGAACUGCGCCGGAAACUGACAGACUAGAGUACCGGAGAGGAAGGUGGAAUUCCGAGUGUAGAGGUGAAAUUCGUAGAUAUUCGGAAGAACACCAGUGGCGAAGGCGGCUCACUGGCCCGGUACUGACGCUCAGGUGCGAAAGCGUGGGGAGCAAACAGG